rnacentral:rRNA from 1 species
AAGUCUGACGGAGCACGCCGCGUGAGCGAAGAAGGCCUUCGGGUCGUAAAGCUCUGUUGUCAGGGAAGAACAAGUACCGGAGUAACUGCCGGUACCUUGACGGUACCUGACCAGAAAGCCACGGCUAACUACGUGCCAGCAGCCGCGGUAAUACGUAGGUGGCAAGCGUUGUCCGGAAUUAUUGGGCGUAAAGCGCGCGCAGGCGGUCCUUUAAGUCUGAUGUGAAAGCCCACGGCUCAACCGUGGAGGGUCAUUGGAAACUGGGGGACUUGAGUGCAGAAGAGGAGAGCGGAAUUCCACGUGUAGCGGUGAAAUGCGUAGAGAUGUGGAGGAACACCAGUGGCGAAGGCGGCUCUCUGGUCUGUAACUGACGCUGAGGCGCGAAAGCGUGGGGAGCAAACAGGAUUAGAUACCCUGGUAGUCCACGCCGUAAACGAUGAGUGCUAAGUGUUAGGGGGUUUCCGCCCCUUAGUGCUGCAGCAAACGCAUUAAGCACUCCGCCUGGGGAGUACGGCCGCAAGGCUGAAACUCA